GGCCCUGCUGCUCGCUGUCAUCUACCUCAACAUCCAGGUGGUGAAGGGCCAGCGGAAGGUCAUUUGUCUUCUCAAGGAGCAGAUCAGCAAUGAGGGAGAGGACAAAAUCUUUUUAAUCAACAAGCUUCACUCCAUCUACGAGAAGAAGGAGAGGAGCAGCGCUCCUGCCCAGAUCCGGGACGCACAGGAGACCCUGUAGGAAGACAUCUGUGGCCACUGCUGCCCCACCCCCGCCCCAUGUCGCUGUCAAGCGCAGAUGCCGUCCGAGACCGUGCUGGCCCCUCACAAGCUGCAGCCUGGACUCCCACACCGACCCCCGUCCCGCUGGAACUCUAUUUAUUCUCAUUAA